UAGUUGUUGCCGGUAUGUGAGUCAUGGGCGGAUACAGUUUGGGCGUAUUUCCGUGUGUUGGUGGACUCACUGUUAGAGCAGGAGCUGCGAUCCUCAGGACUGAGCCAUGAAGAAUUGGAUGAACUUCCCAGAGAGUACCUGGAGGCCAGCUGGACGAUGGAAAAAGUAUUCGAGGAGCUACUAGCAACCGAGUCAAAGAGAGUUCUGGACGCAACCAAGGAACAUUAUCACGUUAUUCAGAAGUUUGUCAUCCUCGGAGACUUGGAUGGUCUUCUGGAAGAGUUUGGUUGUUGGUUAGAAAAGACGCCACCAUUACCUGCUCAUCUCCUGCGUUUUAUGACUCACCUGGUGCUGUUCUAUCGUAGUCUGGGCAUGCAGCUGAAGGUACACACAUGU